AACGUAGGAGACAAACGUUAUCCGGAGUUACUGGGCGUAAAGGGCGUGUAGGUGGUAUCGUAAGUCUGGCGUGAAAUUUCUCGGCUUAACCGAGGCAGGUCGUCGGAUACUGCGAGGCUAGAGGACGGUAGAGGCGUGUGGAAUUCCGGGGUGUAGUGGUGAAAUGCGUAGAGAUCCGGAGGAACACCAGUGGCGAAGGCGACACGCUGG
rnacentral:rRNA from 1 species